rnacentral:rRNA from 2 species
UGGGGAAUUUUGGACAAUGGGGGCAACCCUGAUCCAGCAAUGCCGCGUGUGUGAAGAAGGCCUUCGGGUUGUAAAGCACUUUUGUCCGGAAAGAAAACCGCUUCUCUAAUACAGAGGUGGGAUGACGGUACCGGAAGAAUAAGCACCGGCUAACUACGUGCCAGCAGCCGCGGUAAUACGUAGGGUGCGAGCGUUAAUCGGAAUUACUGGGCGUAAAGCGUGCGCAGGCGGUUCGCUAAGACCGAUGUGAAAUCCCCGGGCUUAACCUGGGAACUGCAUUGGUGACUGGCGGGCUAGAGUAUGGCAGAGGGGGGUAGAAUUCCACGUGUAGCAGUGAAAUGCGUAGAGAUGUGGAGGAAUACCGAUGGCGAAGGCAGCCCCCUGGGCCAAUACUGACGCUCAUGCACGAAAGCGUGGGGAGCAAACA